UGGAGCCUCGCCUCCCUCUGUCUCCGUACAGGGGUGCCUUCUUCUUUUCUUCUUCUCCCUUCUUUCUUGCCUAUUAAACUCUCCACUCCUUAAUACCACUCCACGUGUAUCUGUGUCAUUUUAUCCAAUUUGCAUGAGACAAGAGCCCUGGUGCUCCUCCACUCAUCAGAGCCGUAUCAUUUUGGUGCAUGGGCCAGGAAAAUCCAAAGUACAGCCUUCGUUGUAGUGGCUUACUCCAGGUGCAAUGUGGAAAAUGGAGACAGGGGGACCAUUUAAGCGCAGUUUAGGAGCAAUGAGCGGAGCAGAACCAGGAUGGAAGAAGUAAGCAUGAGGAGAAGCACGCAGAAGUCAGGGGUGUUUGGAGGUGCUGAUGGCGGGGCAGAAAGGAGCCGAGGAGAAAGAAGAGGAUUAGGCUUGGUGGGGGUGGUCAUGCAUCCUAAAAUAAUUCUGAGGUCUUCACAGGGGGAUAGUGAGGCAGCUGUUAGAGAGAUAGGGUUUGAAGUCAGGAGAGAGACGUAGGUUAAUACAUAGGUUUGGGUUCAUGUUACAGAGACCCAGGACAACAGUGAUUUAUACAAAAGAAAGCGUCAGUUCUCUGUCGUGUAAUUACACCGAGGCAGGCAGUUCAGGGCUCCUGUGCCGGCUGCAGGGAUUCAAGCUCCUUCCAUCUCCUGGCUCCGCCAACCCUGGCAUGCUGCCCUUGUCCGCCGCAUCUCACCAUCUUGUCCGCCGCAUCUCACCAUCACGCUGGAUUCUAAAUAGCAGGAGAGAGAAAGAGGAGUGGGGAAGAGGGGCCAGAACCAGUCGCAUGGAGGCCCUUAGCCACAAAGGGGUCUGGGAAAUGCAGCUUUUCCUCUGGGUGGCCACAAGCCCAGUUAAAAAGAAUGGUGCUGGCAAUGUGCAUGGCACACGGCUGGAAUCCCAGCACUUUGGGAGGCUGAGGCAGGUGGAUCACUUGAGCCCAGGAGCUCAACACCAGCCUGGCCAACAUAGUGGGACCCCAUCUCUACAAGAAAUACAAAAAAUAGCCAAGUGUCGUGGCACAUGUCUGUAGUCCCAGCUACUUGGAAGGCUGACGCGGGAGGAUUACCUGAACCUGAGGAGGUCAAGGCUGCAGUGAGCUGUGAUUGCACCACUGCACACGUCUUGGCAACAGAGCAAGACUCUGUCUCAAAAAAGAAAGAAAAAAGAAGAGGUUGUAUUAAUCCAUUCUCAUGCUAUCAAUAAAGACAUACCCGAGACUGGGUAAUUUAUAAAGGAAAGAGGUUGAAUUGACUCACAAUUAAGCAUGGCUGGGGAGGCCUCAGGAAACUUAUACAGUCAUGGCAGAAGGGAAAGCAAAAACGUCCUUCUUCAUGUGGCGGCAGCAAGGAAAAGUGCUGAGCGAAAGGAGGAAAAGCCUCUUAUAAAGCCAUCAGAUCUUGUGACAACUCUAUCACGAGAACAGCAUGGAGGUAACUGCCCCCAUGAUUCAAUUGCCUCCUACGACACGUGGGGAUUAUGGGAACUACAAUUCAAGAUGAGAUUUGGGUGGGGAUACAGCCAAACCAUAUCAGAGGUAGUGCUGUUCCUUGAAAAUAAUGCGAGAAUAGAUCUAGAAGGACCACAUCUGCCACUGUUGGAGAUGGAAACAUGGGGAACAUCAGGGUAUGAGAUAGUAAUUGGGGCCAGGCGCGGUUGGCUCACGCCUGUAUCCCAGCACUUUGGGAGGCUGAGGCGGGUGGAUCACUUGAACUCAGGAGUUCAAGACCAACCUGACCAACGUGGUGCAACCCCGUCUCUAGUGAAAAAAAAUACAAAAUUAGGCUGGGCGCGGUGGUUCAUGCCUGGAAUCCCAGCACUUAGGGAGGAUGAGGUGGACGGAUCACCUGAGGUCCGGAGUUGAAGACCAGUCUGGCCAACAUGGUGAAACCCCGUCUCUACUAAAAAUAUGAAAAUUAGCCGGGCAUGGUGGUGGAUGCCUGUAAUCUCAGCUAUUUGGGAGGCAGAGGCAGGAGAAUUGGUCAAACCUGGGAGGCGAAGAUUGCAGUGAGCUGAGAUCAUGCCAUUGCACUCCAGCUUGGGCGACAAAAGCGAGACUCCGUCUCAAAAAAAAAAAAAAAAAUAGCUGGACAUGGUGGUGUGCGCCUGUAAUCCCAGAUACUUGGGAGGCUGAGGCAGGAGAAUUGCUUGAGCCCAGGAGGCGGAGGUUGCAGUGAACUGAGAUCAUGCCAUUGUACUCCAGCUUGGGCAACAAGAGUGAAACUCCGUCUCAAAAAAAAAGAGAUAGCAAUUGGAGCCUUGGGCCUGGGUGAAAUUUCCCAGAAGGAAUGCAGAGGGAGGGGAAAAGCAGCCCAGGACUGACCUUUGAGAAGGCAUGCCGCCAGCAAAGAGAGUCAGAGAGGACGGCUGGGGAGCGAGGAGGGAAAGCAGGUGUGUGUAAAGCCACAGAGCCAUGGGGAGAGAACAUUUCCAGAAGUGUCCAGUGCUGUCUGCAGGAGGCUUGGAAGUGUCCUUUGAUUAAAACAGCAGGUCAUGAUUUUGAUGGCAGUCAUUUCUGUAGAGUGCUGGAAGCCCAUGCAAGCCUGCAACCAGUUGCAGAGGGAGGGGAAGAUGAGAAAGCGUAGACUGCUAGGACAGACAGCUCUUCCCAGACGUUUGGCUGUGAAGGAGGUGAGAGGUCGUGCUGUGUGUGAGGGGUAGAGAAUGAGUUGUUGGAGCUGGACAUGGCUUACCCCUGUAAUCUGAGCACUUUGGGAGGCCGAGGAGGGAGGAUCACUUAAGGCUAGGAGUUCGAGACCAGCCUGGGCAACAUAGUGAGACCCUAUGCCUACAAAAGUCAAAAUACUAGCUAGAUCUGGCAGCAUGUGCCUAUAACCCCAGGUACUUGGGAGGCCAAGGCAGAAAGAUGGCUUGAGCCCAGGAGGUUGAGGCUGCAGUGAGCCGUGACUGCACCACUGCACUCCAGCCUGGGUGACAGAGUGAGACCCUAUCUCAGAAAAAAAAAAAAAAAAAAAAAGUUGUUGGUUGGCUGGUUGUUUUAAGGUGGGAGAGAUGUCAACUUAUUUAUAUGGGGAAAUAGCCUUUUGGGUGAUAUUGUGAAUGGAAUAACCUGACAAGCAUGUCCUCACCACUAGGCAUCUAGAAGCGCUGCAUAAAACCAAACAAACAUCCUUUAAAACGUGCAGCUUAGUUGCAAGAAAGAAAGGGAAAUCCCCACGAAGCAUGAAGAGGAAAUUGAACACUAGAGCUGUGCAACCUGCUGGGUGGCUGUGAUCUUGGCAUUGAAGGGCCUAGGGCUUUACACCUACCUAGAGAUUGGAGAAGAGGCCUUGUCUGGGGAACUGAAAACAUAGACACUGAUAGAAAGCUUGUACCCUUAAGGGGUGACAUCCUCGGUGAAAGAGUAAACUAGGAAAAAAAUCUGCCUCCAGUUCAGGGAGCAUAAAAGGACCUUGUCUGUUUCACUCUGAGAUUUGGUGACAAUAAAUCGUCCCUUUUGAGAAUUCAUAAGCAAAGGCUUGGCCUCACUUGGACUUGGGGUUCAAGUUUACAUCAUCUGCAUGGUCUGGGAAGCCCAAAUGUCAACAAAUAAUAUAGUCCAGGCCAGGUGCAGUAGCUCGUGCCUAUAAUCCCAGCACUUUGGGAGGCUGAGGCGGGAGGAUCACCUGAGGUGAGGAUUUCAAGACCAGCCUGGCCAACAUGGUGAAACUACGUACCUACUAAAAAUACAAAAAUUAGCUGGGCAUGUUGGUGGGAGCCUGUAAUCCUAGCUACUCGGGAGGCUGAGGCAGGAGAAUUGCUUGACCCCGGGAGGUGGAGGUUGCAGUGAGCUGAGAUCGCACCACUGCACUCCGGCCUGUGCAACAGAGCAAGACUCUGUCUCAAAAUAAUAAUAAAUAAUAAUAAUAAUAAUAAUGUAGACCAGGGUUGGUAACACCCAUGAAGAGCUCUUGGCAGAAGCAGAUAUGAAACCUCUUUGAAUCUUGGUGGGCAUGUGCGUUCCCACUGAUAACACCCUGCUGAAGUUGAAUUCACAGCUGAAAAUUACAAAACAUAAGAGGAAACAAUCUUCAUGAAUCACAGUAAGCAGACACAGCAUAUAGCAGGAUUAGCUCCAACUCCAGAACUCCAGAGAAUAGCAUUAUUUGGUAAAGAACCAUACAGCAAGUGUGGUUUAAAUUUCUAAAGAUAUAAAAGAAGACAUCAAUAUGAGAAAGAAACAAGAUAGUGUUAAAAAAUGAGUGGGAUUCCAGUCAAUGAAUGCGUCUAAAAAAAAGUGAGCAGGAGAGGUUUAAAAUAAAAAGAAGAAAGAGUAAAAUGAAUGCGUCUGUUAAUCUAUGAACUUAUUCAUUCCCCGUUCAUUGGGCUCCUAUUAUGUUUUAGACCAUGUUCUGGGUCUGGAAAUAUAAAGAUGACUGCAGACAGCAAGUUAGACUCUGCCUCAGGAAGAUCGCAUGCACAAAUCCAUGUAUCAAUGCAUCCAUUUAUCUAUACAUCCACUCAUCCACACAUCCAUUCUCUUCACCUAUCCAUUCUCCCAUCCAUCCAUCCAUCCAUCCGUCCGUCUGUCCAUCUAUCCAUCCAUCCAUUUAUUCAUCCAUCCAUCCAUCCAUCCAUCUAUCCAUCCAUCCAUCCAACCAUCUUUCAUUUUACUCAUUGUAGGGGAAAGAAAGAGAGAUCUGACUGUUACUGUGUCUCUGUAGAAAGAAGAAGACAUAAGAAACUCCAUUUUGUUCUGUACUAAGAAAAAUUCUGCCUUGGGAUGCUGUUAAUCGGUAACCCUAGUCCCAACCCUGUGCUCGCAGAAACAUGUACUGUGUUGACUGAAGGUUUAAUGGAUUUAGGGCUGUGCAGGAUGUGCCUUGCUAAAAAUGUGUUUGCAGGCAAUAUGCCUGGUAAAAGUCAUUGCCAUUCUGCAUUAUCGAGUACCCAGGGACAGCAUGCACUGCGGAAGGCCGCAGGGACCUCUGCCCAAGAAAGCCUGGGUAUUGUCCAAGGUUUCUCCCCACUGAGACAGCCUGAGAUAUGGCCUUGUGAGAAGGGAAAGACCUCACCGUCCCCCAGCCCGACACCGUAAAGGCUCUGUGCUGAGGAGGAUUAGUGAAAGAGGAAGGUCUCUUUGCAGUUGAGGUAAGAGGAAGGCAUCUGUCUCCUGCUCAUCCCUGGGAAUGGAAUGUCUCGGUGUAAGGCCCAAUCGUACAUUCUAUUUACUGAGAUAGGAGAAAAGCGCCUUAUGGCUGGAGGUGAGACAUGCUGGCGGCAAUACUGCUCUUUACUGCUCUGAGAUGUUUGUGUAGUCAAACAUAAAUCUGACCUAUGUGCACAUCGAGGCACAGCACCUUUCCUUAAACUUAUUUAUGACACAGAGACCUUUGCUCACAUGUUUUCCUGCUGACCCUCUCCCCACAAUUACCCUAUAGUCCUGCCAUAUCUGCCUCACCGAGAUAGUAGAGAUAGUGAUCAAUAAAUACUAAGGGAACUCAGAGACCAGUGCCGGCACCGGUCUGCCGUAUGCUGAGCACUGGUCCCCUGGGCCCACUGUUCUCUCUCUAUACUUUGUCUCUGUGUCUUAUUUCUUUUCUCAGUCUCUUGUCCCACCUGACAAGAAAUAGCCACAGGUGUGGAGGGGCUGGCCCCCUUCACUCAUUCUCAAAUGUCACAGCUAGAAAAGUCCCAAUAGAACAUUUUGUUCAAAUUUCAGCUGUCUUUUUGUACAUGAAAAAAGCACAUGAGGCCCCAUAAUACAAAACUCUGUUUUCUGAAGUCUCUAAGUGAAUAAGGUGAUGGAGCCAGAUCAUGAACCGGGGCCUUGUCCCUGUAUUUCUUCCACACUGCAGUGCCUUUCCUGAGCCCAUGGCAUGGAAGCAUCUAACCUCUGAACACCUGCCUCUGUCUUCUGUUUCUCUAACACCUGCCUCUAUCUUCUAUUUCUCUGAGGUCUGUUCACUCCUCGUGGGCAGAGUCCUCACAACCCAGGGCUGUCAACUGAUGGUGAUGAUAAGGAAUGUCGUUACCCAGCUUAUGAGUGAUAGAGAUGGGACAGGGCCCUGGUCUCUACCUGGUGUCAGUUUUGUGUCCAUAUCUUAGCUCACCCCUACCUUUGUUCCCUACUCUGCCGCUAGAGAGAUUGUGAGCUCCUUGAGGGCAGGGCCCAGGUCUGAUUCCUCCCCUCCCAGUGCCCAGCUCAGAAACAGUGCUUAGGAUGCUGGCCAGUGAGUACACCUGGGAGAAGAGGCUGGACUAGGCUCUCGGUCCCUCUGCCUGGGGUUUCUGGCUGCUCUGUCAACUUCCAACAUCCCAAAAAUCAGAGGGGAGGUCAAGGGAUUGAAUGAGAGGCUCUAAGUGCUCCUUAGCCCGCUGUGCAGGAAGAAGCGAGUGUUUCCUGGCUGUGGGUGAACUUCGUGGACGGCAUUAAACAACACAGCAUCCCGCCCCCUGUGCGGGGCUGUCUGUCUGCCUUGGCACUUCCAGAAGGUCUCAUUGUGGUGCUAGAGUAUCUAACACUUUCUGACUUGCAGGUCAACAUUCCCUUUUCUUGUUAACAAAGAGCAGUGCCGGGCGCGGUGGCUCACGCCUGUAAUCCCAGCACUUUGGGAGGCUGAGGCGGGCAGAUCACGAGGUCAGGAGUUCGAGACCAGCCUGGCCAGCAUGGUAAAACCCUGUCUCUACUAAAAAUACAAAAAUUAGCCAGGCAUGGUGGCAGGCACCUGUAAUCCCAGCUACUCGGGAAGCUGAGGCAGGAGAAUUGCUUGAACCCGGGAGGCAGAGGUUGCAGUGAGCCGAGAUCACGCCAUCACACUGCAGCCUGGGCAACAGAGCGAGACUCUGUCUCAAAAACAACAACAAGAACAAAAAGCAGAGUUUUAGGUCAAUGCUUCCAGCAGGAAACAGAAUUUAGAUCUUAACAAUUUUGUUUACUUGUAUUUAUUUUCAUGUUUUACCUUCUCUUGAUGGCAAAUGAGACUGGUUUUCCAUUUACAGAAGUGAUACAAAAGAUUCCUGUUGCAAUAAUUUUAUUAAGUGAAUAAUGAGCCAAUUUAAAGAAAAAUAUAAAGCAAAUAAUAGUACAGGUGGUAAACCAAUAUGGCAAAAUUACUAAUAUUCAAGGCUGAAGUUUGGCCGGGCAUGGUGGCUCAUGGCUGUAAUCCCAACACUCUGGGAGAUGGGGAUGAUUGGCUCUCUUGAGCCCAGGAAUUCAAGACCAGCCUGGGCAACACAGCAAGACCCUGUCUCUAAAAAAAAAAAAAUAGCCAGGUGUGGUGGUACAUGCCUGUAGUUACACCUACUGGGGAGACUGAGGUGGGAGGAUCACUUAAGCCCAGGAGUUCAAGGCUGCAGUGAGCUGAGAUUGUGCCACUGUACUCUAGCCUGGGCAACAGAGUGAGACCCUGUUUCAAAAACAAAAAAAAGUGGCCUGGUGCAGUGCUCAUGCCUGUAAUCCUAGCAUUUUGGGAGGCUAAGGCUGCUGGAUCACUUGAGCCUAGGAAUUGGAAACCUGCCCAGGCAGUAUGGUGAGACCCUAUCUCUACAAAAAAAUACAAAAAUUAGCUGGGCGGGGUGGUAUGCACCUGUAGUCCCAGCUAUUCUAGAGGUUGAGGUGGGAGGA